rnacentral:rRNA from 1 species
GAUGAACGCUGGCGGUGUGUCUAAGGCAUGCAAGUCGAGAGGGUUUAGACCCUCGGCAGACGGGGUAGUAACAGGUAGGUAACGUACCCAGAAGUCAGGAAUAAUCCAUCGAAAGGUGGACUAAUACCUGAUGGUUCCCUCACUCUUCGGAGUGUGGGAUAAAGAUUUAUCGCUUCUGGAGCGGCCUGCUUAGUAUCAGCUUGUUGGUAGUGUAAAGGACUACCAAGGCUACGACGCUUAGGGGAGGUGAGAGCCUGAUCCCCACCAUUGGAACUGCGACACUGUCCAA